GACGAACGCUGGCGGCGUGCUUAACACAUGCAAGUCGAACGGAAAGGCCCUGCUUGCAGGGUGCUCGAGUGGCGAACGGGUGAGUAACACGUGGGUGAUCUGCCCCUUACUUUGGGAUAAGCCUGGGAAACUGGGUCUAAUACUGGAUAGGACCAUGCUGUAGGUGGUGUGGUGGAAAGAUUAGUUUCGGUAAGGGAUGAGCUCGCGGCCUAUCAGCUUGUUGGUGGGGUAAUGGCCUACCAAGGCGUCGACGGGUAGCCGGCCUGAGAGGGUGGACGGCCACAUUGGGACUGAGAUACGGCCCAGACUCCUACGGGAGGCAGCAGUGGGGAAUAUUGCACAAUGGGCGCAAGCCUGAUGCAGCGACGCCGCGUGGGGGAUGACGGCCUUCGGGUUGUAAACUCCUUUCAGCCAUGACGAAGCCCUUGUGGUGACGGUAGUGGUAGAGGAAGCACCGGCUAACUACGUG
rnacentral:rRNA from 1 species